GCGAUGUUGCAUGCUCGGAGCAACUGAUUCGUAAUCAGUAGGUCGGUGGUUCGACUCCACUCAACAGCACCA
rnacentral:tRNA from 1 species